rnacentral:rRNA from 1 species
AGUUUGAUCCUGGCUCAGAUUGAACGCUGGCGGCAUGCUUUACACAUGCAAGUCGAACGGCAGCGCGGGCUUCGGCCUGGCGGCGAGUGGCGAACGGGUGAGUAAUGCAUCGGAACGUGCCCAGUAGUGGGGGAUAGCCCGGCGAAAGCCGGAUUAAUACCGCAUACGACCUGAGGGUGAAAGCGGGGGACCGAAAGGCCUCGCGCUAUUGGAGCGGCCGAUGUCGGAUUAGCUAGUUGGUGGGGUAAAGGCUUACCAAGGCGACGAUCCGUAGCUGGUCUGAGAGGACGACCAGCCACACUGGGACUGAGACACGGCCCAGACUCCUACGGGAGGCAGCAGUGGGGAAUUUUGGACAAUGGGGGCAACCCUGAUCCAGCCAUGCCGCGUGCGGGAAGAAGGCCUUCGGGUUGUAAACCGCUUUUGUUCGGGAAGAAAUCCUCUGGGCUAAUACCCCGGGGGGAUGACGGUACCGGAAGAAUAAGCACCGGCUAACUACGUGCCAGCAGCCGCGGUAAU